rnacentral:lncRNA from 10 species
CGAAACUAUGCUAGUUCCAUGAGUGCUCCAAGUGAGGCAAGACAGAGACUAGUCCCUUGGGCAGCCCUCUGAAGAGCCAGAAUGCCAACACAUGCUCCACUCUUCUCCCUCCUUGCCAAGGAAGAAGUCUUAACUUGUGCACUUCCUCCCCCAAUUGUGCCAUGCUGUGCCAACCAUAUCAAGCCACCUGCUGCUUUCCAUUGUCCUCAGUGACCCCCAGACAUUCAAAUUAUGCUAGUUCUGUGGGCACACCAAUCAAGGAAGUAAGAGACCUGUUUCUUGGGCAGCUCUCUGAAAAGCUGGAAUGUUGGAGGCAUGCUCUAUUCUUUUCUCCCAGAGGAAAAAGAUGUGAAGAGGCAUUCUGUCUUGGCACUGAGCUGUGCUAACUUGGGGGAGAGGCUGAUGCAGGACCAAUGACCUUCUAAGAAGAGGAAGACACACCAGGCAUGCACACGCACAGAAAAGAAGACCAUGUGAGGGCACAGCAAGAAGAUGGCCAUCUGCAAACUAAGAGGAGAGGCCUCAUUAGAACCUAACCCUGCACCAUGAUCAUGGACUUCCAGCCUUCAGAGUUAGGAAAAUAAAAUUCUGUUGUUUAUGCCACCAAAUCUGUGGUAUUCGCUUAUGAAAACCAUAGAAAAUUAUACAAUACCCAACAAGCAAAUAGCAGAAUGGAAUUAAACCCAUAAAGGAUGGCUUCAAAGGCAAUGCUUAACCACUAUACUGCCUUUAAAAAUUGUCCUAACAGUUCAACUUCAAUUACAGAAAGUUUAUAAUAAUUAGAUGUUAAUACUUUUAUGCUUAACUUUAUAUUUCUAUUUCAAAUGCUUAUUUCCUUUUCAAUAGUUAAUAUUUUCUGGACAGCAAUUCUGGACUAUUUUCUAAAUUCUCUGUUUUCUAAAUUCUUAUGUCAUGCCCUCUGUCAUAAGAAUGUUUAUACCCUAUGAUCUUCUAAAAAUAAAUCCUUAAAAGAUGAUAUGGUUUGGCUAUGUGUCCUCACCCAAAUCUCAUGUUAAAUUGUAAUCCCCAUUGUUGGAGGAUGGACCCAGUGGAAGGUAAUUGGAUCGGGGGGUGGAUUUUCCCCUUGCUGUUCUCACUAUAGUGAGUGAGUUCUCAGGAGAUCUGGUUGUUUAAAAGUGUGUAGCACUUCCCUGUUUGCCCACUGUCUCUCUGUCUCCUGCUCUGACAUGGUAAGACAUGUUUGCUUCCCCUUCACCUUCCACCCUGAUUGUAAGUUUCUUGAGGCCUCCCAGCCAUGCUUCCUGUACAGCCUAUCGAGCUGUGAGUCAAUUAAACCUCUUUUCUUUAU